CAUAUGCACACACUCGCACACAAAGCUCAUCUCGUGUCUUUUACUAAUGUUUCAGGACCUGUAGACAGCCUAGCAGGGCAGGUAGAAGGACCAGCAAACUCAGGAAGAAGAGGUUUCCAUCCACAACAGAACAGCUAUAGAAUAUCCUUCAGAUCAGAAAUGGUAACUUGGGCCACAGGACCAAUGCAGGAGGGCCACUUCUUGAGACCCACAGAGUUGGGAGGCUGUUGUACUUUCUGCACACCUCAGACCCUUCUGGAUUCAAGGAAAGUGGGAACUUCAGGACUGGAUCCCAAAAAAGAAGAAACUAUUUCUGCCCAGAAGAAUUUACAGUCAAGGUAAAUAAGGUGAAUAAGACCAGCAAGAUUUGGACUUAAGGGCAUGAUCCUGAGGACUGCUGAGUGCCAACAACUUUCACUGAAAUGAAUGGGAGUUGUGUGCUCAGCACUUUCCCAAGUGCUAUCAAUUUUCAUUCUUUAAUAAUUCAGCUGUCUUGUUGCUCCCACCCCACAUUGCCUAUUUACAUAAAAAUAUCAUUUAAAAACAUGCAUAUAGAACCAUACAUUGCAAGCUUAGGCCCCAGUCCUGUGAAGGCUUGUGGAUAUGCUUAACUUUAAACAAAUUAAUAGACUCAUUGGCUUCAUUGGAACUACUCCCAUGAGUAAAAUUAAGGUUUAAGUCUUUGUAGGAUUUGAGCCUAAGUUCCCAGUUCUGCAAGAAGCUUUGCGCUGGCAGACUCCUGCUCCCUUGUACAAGUUGUGUGAAGUAAAUAAGGCUCGCAAGGGCGUAGGGGCCUGCCCAUGAAGAGCUCCUUGUAGAAUUGGGUCCUAAUGUUAAGACAUGUUCCCUUCCCCCAGGAGUUUACAAUCUGAGUCAAUGGCAAACCUCCCAUGGGGAGUUCAAGGGGCCACGAUUUCACCCCAUAAAUUACCAGCUUGUAUUUGCUCUUUAGGAUCUCUCAUUUUCCCUGUGCUUGUUAUGCCAUGAUUUGCUCUUGACAGCUCUUGUCCAUGGACCCAUCCUCCACUUCUCCCUUAAAUACCACUUCAUCCUUGAUCUUCAUUACUUGAAGAAAGGCAUGGAUUAGUAUAGACAAAUUUGCAUUUGUUUUUUAAAUAUUUUUCCAUCACGUCUCUGAGUACAUGUACAAAUUUACAUAAUACAAAAAGCUAAACAAACAUGCACUCCCAUCUGAAACCACCGUGUAUAAACAUUCCUCAUCACACUUUGCACUAAGGCCUGAACAAUAACAAUAAAUAAUAACAAUAAUACUUUACACGUAUAGAGUAGUUUUCAUCUGUAGAGCUCAAAAUGCUUUACAAAGGUGAGUCAUUACAUUAGGUACAAAAGAAGGCAGUUUCAGAGCAGAAAAAAGAGCCUAGGUUGCCUGCCUCCCAGCUUGUGCUCUAGAUGGCAGAUGCGUCCUGCCCCUUGCUCUGAAGGUUAAACUUGGAGUGUCAGACAUUUUGGGAAUGCAAGUUCUAGCAUUAUGGGCCCUUUCCUGUAACAACUCCAUCAGUCUCCCCAAACAUACAAAUAUAGGUCCUGCAAUUGUGUGUAUAUGGAUGUAAUUGCAGGAUUGGGCCCCGAGGACUGUUUAGGAAAUUUAAUAGGUGUCAUAACGGAAUAUGAGGACCAGCUUAGUGCCUCAGACAACUAAGGACCCAAACCUUAAUUGCACCUGAAAACAGAUAUUAUUUUAUCAUGAUAGGAUAAUGGUGACAUCAAUCACAUCAAUUAAUACUUAAUAAUAACACUAUCAUGGACAUAAGUGUGCCAGGUUCUUUACAGACAUAGAAAAAGAUAGGUCCCUCCUUCAAAUAAUUUAUGAGCUAGCACCCUGAUCCUGCAGAGAGAUCUGUCUGCACAGAUUUCCAUUGGCUUUAGUGGGACCCUGCAAGGGCAUAACAGUUUGCACAAGCAGAUGCUUUUGUAGGAUGAGGGCCUGACUCGAUGUAUAGACAUAUGGGGAAGGAGAAAGGAAUACACUUUUUAAAAAUUACAUAUAUAUGACCUCAUGCCCAAUUUCCAAAUGAUAUUGCUCCUUGCUCUCAUGCCUAAUUGUGUUUUUGUAUCUUUAACUUACCUAACCCUCACUCAUGUUCCUACCAUGGUAAUCCUCAAGCAGUCCCACUGAAAGCAUUGGGGCUACCUUUUUAGCAUGGCCCUGAUCCUGUAUCCAUGGUCUUUAUUUGGUCCCAUAACUGUAGAAUCUGAAUGCUUUACAGUCUCUAAUAAUCGUAGAACACGCUCCUCAGGCAGGAAAUUAUUAUCUCCAUUUUAUCAAAGGGGAACUGGGGCACAGAGAUGCCAAGCAACACUGGAAUUUGUGGGCAAGCAGUGAAUUAAACCCAUGUCUCCCAAGUCCCAGGCUAAUUGCCUUAACUACUGGACCAUUUUUCUGCCCUAUUUUGUAAGGACUCUUUGUAGGUGGACUCCUGCGGCUCCACAGAACCCCACUGAAAUCAUAUUAUGGCCCUUCGUGUUGAUGCACACCUGGCUGUGUUUUCCUUGCCUACUUCCACUUUAUUGUUGCAGUAUUUUUAAUCCUGGCCUGUUUAGUCCCCAAUCCUGCAAGCUCAUAUACAUGGGUCAGCCCUCUGUACCUCCACAUUUUUGAAUGCCAAAACUAAUAGAACUUUUAAAAAACGUAUUUAUUUUUGGUCUGUUGUAUACGUGAAUAAUGCUGAAUUUCAGUGCUAGUCUGACAGCAAUGAGCAAAGGCCUCUCCUUCUUUAUCCAUACAACUGACACAGCACAGACAACGGCUUCCCUCCAUUCUGUCCCCAAGAAUAGUCAUGAUCCAGAGCCCUUCAAAGUCAUUAGAAGGGUUCCCAUUAACACGAAUGGACUUUGGAGCAUUCCCAAUAUGUCACUUGUCUGCAGAGAAUAUUUUAACUUGGGUGGGGGAGGGGUGUGCGUGUGACUGACUGACUGACUGAUUAUGAGUCCAGUCUUGCUUACCUUUACCACCAGACAUAGUUAGUGCUUAAUAGCAUGAUCAGUGCAAGUGGCUGAUCCUUGUGAGUGCUCCACAGUAGGGCGAGUUGAACAAUGCUCCCCCGGUGAAAAUUUCAAAUGAAAAAGUUUUGCUAGAAAUCUUUCAAUUUUUGACGAGAUUUCCAAUAGAAAAUUUUCAUUUCAUUUGGCCUUUUAGAUAUAUCGUUGGUAAAUGUACAUUGUAAGCUCCUUGGGGCAGGGACUUGUCCUUUUGUUCUGAGUUUGAACCAUGCCUAGCACAAUGGGGCCCUGGUCUAGGACUAGGGGUCUGAGGUGAUGCAGCAAUAAAAUAAUAAUAAAUAUUCAAACAUUUUCCCAUUAAAUCUUCUUUUUUGUGGGACUCCUUUUCAUUGGCAAGAAAAAUGUUGGGAUGAAAAAAUUCAACCCGUUUAACUUUACGUGCCAAUACCUUGUCGAACGAAAGGAAAAUUCUGCAUGCAUAGGGAUCUCAAAUGCACACAAGUCGAGCCUGAUUAUGCAAAGCAAGAUUGUGGAGCAAUAGCUCGUGUUGGUGAGCACUUACUCACAUGAGUAGUCCCAUUCACUUCAGUGGUGUGUAUAAAUGCUCACCAACAGGAGUCAGAUUUCCACAAUUGGGCCUGUCCAUUUUUCACCAGUCAAGUAAGUUUGGGCUCAGUUUUAUUCCUGCAGGUAAGUUUGCAUGGUUACGCAGCCAAAUUCACAUUCAUGGGUUUGGUAUUACCUUUUUUAGACAUGUGAUUGUCACACACGGAUACAUUUAUACAAAUGUGCACCAUUUCAAGCACCAUUCCUAGACUGCAUUAUCAUCACGUUUACAAAAUGUUCUAUUGAGAACAAUUAAAUAAACCCGUAAAACUAUAAAGAAUGAAUUUAUUUGAUAUUAAUGUUCCUUGGAAAACAUGGAAAGCUGGAGGCCCCACCUUUAGUUAGCUACCACCCUCUGGUAAUGCCAAGCAUUUUACAAUGUUAAGUUCGAAAGGCUGGAACAAUUUGUAUAGUGGGGGUGCUGAGAGCCAUUGAGCCAAACUGUAAACCCUGUAUGUGAUGGAAACCACUUCAAGCCAGGGGGUGCACCAGCACCCCUAUUUCAGCACCUAUGCCUGUAUAAAGCAACCACCUCUCCAAAGUGACUGCCCAGAAGUGGUACUAAAUACAGUAACACCUUCAAUUAGGUGACUGGCUGAACUGCUUUGGACUUCAAUGUCUCUAAAUCUUACACAGUUCAUGCUUGUACUUGAACAGUUCUGUGUAGUGGAACAGCUUGAGCACUUUCUCCUUUGAAGAGCAGUCCAGGCCAAAGCCAUUAUUAGCUGCAGAGGGAAUAAGGAAGCAGGGGAGCCAUUUUACUUGUAGGCUCCUUUUCAUCAUAGGACUGGUUGAACCCCAUGCUGGGAAUUUUCUUUUAUUCUUUUUGUUGUUGUU